GAGAUAAUGAAAAUUUAUGAUAUAUUUCUAAUUGUUAUCUUUGGGAUGCAUAAAUAUAUAUAUUUAAGAAAAUCUAACUUGACUUAAUCAUUUGGUUUUCAUCCCAUAGUACUGAAUCAUCUCAACAUAUCUUUACUAAAUGUUUAAUGAACUUUCCAGUCUCAGUUGCCUUCUCUUUGAAAUGUAUCUUGUCAUUUUCUUCAUUUUCUGGAAACAGAUACUUACGGUCGAGGACUUAUAGGCAGAUCCAUGUGCAAAUUGUGGCUCUAAAUAUUACUAUAUGUAUUACCUUAGGUCACUUCUUUAACCUUCCC
rnacentral:lncRNA from 1 species